AAGAAAGAGAGUUAUUUCCCUUUCAUGCGAAAUCCAUUAUCUUCUUGUUCCGUGCCUCUCGCGUUCCUUACAAAAUGGUCUGUGACUUUUGAGUAACAUGGCCAGCAGAAAGAGUGGGCGUCAGAGAACAUGGAUGAGAGGGGAGGGACGGAAGAGAGAGAGAGAGAGAAAAAAACAUAUGGGGGAGAAAAUGUCUGGAGCAUGACUCAGGCUUAUUGAUUGGUCAGAGAAUGUCGUGGGCUGGUCACCUGACCUCCUGUCUGGGGGGGGGGGGGGAUUUUUUUUUC